AACGAACGCUGGCGGCAUGCCUAACACAUGCAAGUCGAACGAGACCUUCGGGUCUAGUGGCGCACGGGUGCGUAACGCGUGGGAACCUGCCCUUAGGUUCGGAAUAACUCCCCGAAAGGGGUGCUAAUACCGGAUAAUGUCUUCGGACCAAAGAUUUAUCGCCUUUGGAUGGGCCCGCGUUGGAUUAGCUAGUUGGUAGGGUAAAAGCCUACCAAGGCGACGAUCCAUAGCUGGUCUGAGAGGAUGAUCAGCCACACUGGGACUGAGACACGGCCCAGACUCCUACGGAGGCAGCAGUGGGGAAUAUUGGACAAUGGGCGAAAGCCUGAUCCAGCAAUGCCGCGUGAGUGAUGAAGGCCUUAGGGUUGUAAAGCUCUUUUACCCGGGAUGAUAAUGACAGUACCGGGAGAAUAAGCGCCGGCUAACUCCGUG
rnacentral:rRNA from 1 species